rnacentral:rRNA from 1 species
GCCUGCAGGUCGACGAUUCACAGGGAGGUAGUGACAAAAAAUAACGAUGUGAGGCCUUUAUGGUGUCACAAUCGCAAUGAAGCGAAUCUAAAUCACUUCAUGAGUAACAAUUGGAGGGCAAGUCUGGUGCCAGCAGCCGCGGUAAUUCCAGCUCCAAUAGCGUAUACUAAAGUUGUUGCAGUUAAAAAGCUCGUAGUUGACUCUCGGACGAGGGCAGCUGGUCCGGCCUCAGGUCGGCACUGGCUGGACCGAGUCUUACCUCUUGGGGAGGGUCGGUGCUCUUCACUGGGUGCCGGCCACCAGAACCAAGAAGAUUACUUUGAGAAAAGUAGAGUGUUCAAAGCAGGCAACCGCUUGAAUACCUUAGCAUGGAAUAAUAAAAUAGACCUUGGUUCUAUUUUAUUGGUUUAAGG